UACGUAGGGGGCAAGCGUUGUCCGGAAUCAUUGGGCGUAAAGCGCGUGUAGGCGGCCCGGUAAGUCCGCUGUGAAAGUCGGGGGCUCAACCCUCGGAUGCCGGUGGAUACUAUCGAGCUAGAGUGCGGGAGAGGCGAGUGGAAUUCCUGGUGUAGCGGUGGAAUGCGCAGAUAUCAGGAGGAACACCAAUAGCGAAGGCAGCUCGCUGGGACGGUACUGACGCUAAGGCGCGAAAGCGUGGGGAGCGAACAGG
rnacentral:rRNA from 1 species